rnacentral:rRNA from 11 species
AAGCCGGGCAGGGAACAGUGUGUGUCGGGUAGUUUGACUGGGGCGGUCUCCUCCUAAAGAGUAACGGAGGAGCGCAAAGGUUGGCUCAGCACGGAUGGAAACCGUGUUUUAGAGUGUAAGAGCACAAGCCAGCUUUACUGCGAGUCCGACAGGACGAGCAGUCUCGAAAGAGGGCUCUAGUGAUCCUGCGAUCGCGUGUGGAAGCGUCGUAGCUCAUCGGAUAAAAGGUACUCCGGGGAUAACAGGCUUAUCGCUC